rnacentral:lncRNA from 1 species
AUGGCGACGUCCUCCAGGCGGACGCUGAUCCGAGGGGCUGAGGAGUCGAGGUGGACGUCGCCGCAGGAGGCAGCGCCAUCCACGCAGCAGGAUGCGCCGAGGGCGAGGCCACCAGUCCGGCAGCCGAGCCAAGGACGAGGCAGGAACCAGCGGCAUCCUCCCUGGACCACCGCGACGAGACACAGGAACCAGCGGCGUCCUCCUUGGACCACCGCGACGAGAAACAGGAACCAGCGGCGUCCUCCUUGGACCACCGCGACGAGAGACAGGAACCAGAGGCGUCCUCCUUGGACCACCGCGACGAGAGACAGGAACCAGCAGCGUCCUCCUUGGACCACCGCGACGAGAGACAGGAACCAGCGGCGUCCUCCUUGGAACACCGCGACGAGAGACAGGAACCAGCGGCGUCCUCCUUGGACCACCGCGACGAGAGACAGGAACCAGCGGCGUCCUCCUUUGACCACCGCGACGAGACACAGGUGCAGAUGCGGCUGGAGCCGAGCCGCCAGGAACCGAUGCAGGAGCGUCCGGAGCCGGGCCGCCAGGAACCGAUGCAGGUGCGGCCGGAGCCGGGCCGCCAGGAACCGAUGCAGGUGCGGCCGGAGCCGGGCCGCCAGGAACCGAUGCAGGUGCGGCCGGAGCCGGGCCGCCAGGUACAGAUGCAGGUGCAGCGGGAGCUGCGACGGGAACGACCCCCUCCUGGAGGUCGGCAGGAACUAUGACGAGCGCGACCCCCUCCUGGAGGUCCGCCGGGACUGCGACGGGCGCGACCCCCUCCUGGAGGUCGGCAGGAACUAUGACGAGCGCGACCCCCUCCUGGAGGUCCGCCGGGACUGCGACGGGCGCGACCCCCCCUGGAGGUCCGCCGGGACUGCGACGGGCGCGACCCCCUCCUGGAGGUCCGCCGGGACUGCGACGGGCGCGACCCCCUCCUGGAGGUCCGCGGGGACUGCAGCUGGCGCGACCUCCUCCUGGAGGUCCGCGGGGACUGCAGCUGGCACGACCUCCUCCUGGAGGUCCGCGGGGACUGCAGCUGGCGCGACCUCCUCCUGGAGGUCCGCGGGGACUGCAGCUGGCGCGACCUCCUCCUGGAGGUCCGCGGGGACUGCAGCUGGCGCGACCUCCUCCUGGAGGUCCGCGGGGACUGCAGCUGGCGCGACCUCCUCCUGGAGGUCCGCGGGGACUGCAGCUGGCGCGACCUCCUCCUGGAGGUGCGCGGGGACUGCAGCUGGCGCGGUCUCCUCCUGGAGGUGCGCGGGGACUGCAGCUGGCGCCGUCUCCUCCUGGAGGUGCGCGGGGACUGCAGCUGGCGCCGUCUCCUCCAGGAGGUGCGCGGGCGCUGCGGCUCCGAGGGUGACAGGGACUGGAACGACCUCUCUCGGGCCGACAGGAACGGGGACUGGAACGACCGCUAUAGGGCCGACAGGAACGGGGACUGGAACGACCGCUACAGGGCCGACAGGAACGGGGACUGGAACGACCGCUACAGGGCCAACAGGAACGGGGACUGGAACGACCGCUACAGGGCCGACAGGAACGGGGACUGGAGCGACCUCUACUUGGUCGACCGGGACAGGAACGACCUCAACAUGGCCGGCAGGGACUGGGACAGGAACAGGAACGACCUCUACUUGGCCGACAGGAACAGGAACGACCUCUACUUGGCCGACAGGAACAGGAACGACCUCUACUUGGCCGACAGGGACUGGAACGGCAGUCUGCAGUCCGCGGGGACUGCAGCUGGCGCGACCUCCUCCUGGAGGUGCGCGGGGACUGCAGCUGGCGCGGUCUCCUCCUGGAGGUGCGCGGGGACUGCAGCUGGCGCGGUCUCCUCCUGGAGGUGCGCGGGGACUGCAGCUGGCGCCGUCUCCUCCAGGAGGUGCGCGGGCGCUGCGGCUCCGAGGGUGA